AGAGUUUGAUCCUGGCUCAGGAUGAACGCUGGCGGCGUGCUUAACACAUGCAAGUCGAACGGGGCGGCGGGGAGGAAUCCCUUCGGGGAGGAGACCCCGCGGCCUAGUGGCGGACGGGUGAGUAACGCGUGGGCAACCUGCCCCAUACCGGGGGAUAACAGCCGGAAACGGCUGCUAACACCGCAUAAGCGCUGGGGGCCGCAUGGCUCCCAGCGGAAAACUCCGGUGGUAUGGGAUGGGCCCGCGUCUGAUUAGGCAGUUGGCGGGGCAGCGGCCCACCAAACCGACGAUCAGUAGCCGGCCUGAGAGGGCGGCCGGCCACAUUGGGACUGAGACACGGCCCAGACUCCUGCGGGAGGCAGCAGUGGGGAAUAUUGCACAAUGGGGGGAACCCUGAUGCAGCGACGCCGCGUGGGCGAGGAAGUAUUUCGGUAUGUAAAGCCCUAUCGGCAGGGAAGAAGAAAUGACGGUACCUGAAUAAGAAGCACCGGCUAAAUACGUGCCAGCAGCCGCGGUAAUACGUAUGGUGCAAGCGUUAUCCGGAUUUACUGGGCGUAAAGGGAGCGCAGGCGGCGCGCCAAGUCUGAUGUGAAACCCCGGGGCUCAACCCCGGGCAUGCAUUGGAAACUGGCGGGCUGGAGUGCCGGAGAGGUAAGCGGAAUUCCUAGUGUAGCGGUGAAAUGCGUAGAUAUUAGGAGGAACACCAGUGGCGAAGGCGGCUUACUGGACUGUAACUGACGUUGAGGCUCGAAAGCGUGGGGAGCAAACAGGAUUAGAUACCCUGGUAGUCCACGCCGUAAACG
rnacentral:rRNA from 1 species